rnacentral:tRNA from 1 species
CGGCGCUUAGCUCGGCUGGAGGAGCGAGUGCCCUUACAAGGCGGAGGUCGCAGGUUCGAGCCCUGCAGCGCCCACAA